ACGGACGCUAAUACCGCAUACGUCCUACGGGAAAAAGCAAGGGACCUUCGGCCCUUGCGCUAUCAGAUGAGCCUAGGUCGCAUUAGCUGGUUGGUGAGGUAAUGGCUCACCAAGG
rnacentral:rRNA from 1 species